rnacentral:tRNA from 3 species
UGCGCCGCCAGGGACUCGAACCCCGGACCCGCUGAUUAAGAGUCAGCUGCUCUAACCAACUGAGCUAGCGGCGC